GGUGUUUUGCCAGGCAGAAGCGUGGAGAGCAGCCCGCCUUGCCACCUCUGCUACUGCCAUGGUGCGUAAUCUGCUGCUGGCACCUUCGACUUUGAGACUUUGCUGCAACCUGAAUGGUGGAAAGCCAACCAGAGGGGAUGGGGAGCAGCUGGUCGCGUUUAUUAGGCAUUGGAGACUGCAUAAGAUGCUACAUUGAAGAAGUGGCCGGCAGCCACCCGAGGGCAGACAGGCACAUCUAUCAAUUCAAAGCUCACGAAGCUGAGAAGGUCCUCAAAAUAUAUAUAUUUUUUCUUCCUGUUGAGUUUUUUGUCUUAUUUUUG